CGGGUACGUUAAUAGCGUAUUCGUUUGACGUUAGCGACAGAAGAAAGCACCGGCUAACUCCGUGCCAGCAGCCGCGGUAAUACGGAGGGUGCGAGCGUUAAUCGGAAUUACUGGGCGUAAAGCGCAUGCAGGUGGUUUGUUAAGUCAGAUGUGAAAGACCCGGGGCGUCAACCUCGGAAUAGCAUUUGAAACUAGGCAGACUAGAGUACUGUAGAGGGGGGUAGGAAUUUCAGGUGUAGCGGUGAAAUAGCGUAGAGAUCUGAAGGAAUACCGGUGGCGAAGGCGGCCCCCUCGGACAGAUACUGACACUCAGAUGCGAAAGCGUGGGGAGCAAACAGGAUUAGAUACCCUGGUAG
rnacentral:rRNA from 1 species